ensembl:lncRNA
CCUGCCUCCCGGCCCACCAGUCGGGGCCUCCCUCCUGGAGCUCCAGGGUCUCGCCGCAUGGUGGAGCCGCCGCGCCUGGCUCACGGUCCCGCGCGCGCUCCUGGGCCCGCACGCCUGAGUCACCUUUGUCUCCCGCUGGGAUCAAGGAUGGAGUCUGUGGCCCCUAUCCCACUGGGCACUCCUUAGUUUCCUCGCCCUCUCUUAAAAAUCCGAGGAACUAAGGUUCUAAUCGGAUACAAGAAACCUGGAAAAACCGUUUAGUGAAAAUGGCACAUAGCCUGUCCUUCAGUUACAAAUCCCAUUUUUUCUGGUGGCGGGGAUGGUGGGCCGUGUGUGUUGAGAGAGGAGAGUGCAAGUUCGUGCAGCUGGGACUUCUCCCUUAUAUCCAGACCAUGUCUUGAAAUCGGUACGUAUUCUGCCCUUUUUCUGAGUAGAUCCAUCCCAGGGCAAGUGUGUAAGUGUGAGAUAUCCUCAGGCAUUCACCAAGGUAGUAAAUACCACUAAUACAUUUAGAAUUGUUUUCAACCAGCUUUGAAACAAGAGGUUUUGUUUUUCUUGUUGGUUUGGUUAACCCUGUGUUUAUAUUAUAGGAAAAGUCACUCUAAUGAAAAUGUUUAAAUCAUUAAGAUAUUUUUAAAAACUUGAUUUUGGAAUAAGUUGUUAUAUUAGUUUAAGCAGCACAAUUCAAAG